AUACGGAGGGUGCAAGCAUUAAUCGGAAUUACUGGGCGUAAAGCGUACGUAGGCGGUUAUUUAAGUCAGAUGUGAAAGCCCCGGGCUUAACUUGGGAACUGCAUUUGAAACUGGGUAACUAGAGUUUAGUAGAGGGGAGUGGAAUUUCAGGUGUAGCGGUGAAAUGCGUAGAGAUCUGAAGGAACACCAGUGGCGAAGGCGACUCCCUGGACUAAAACUGACGCUGAGGUACGAAAGCGUGGGUAGCAAACAGGAUUAGAAACCCCAGUAGUCC
rnacentral:rRNA from 1 species